AACUUAUGGCUGAAACACCCAAACUGACUGUGUUAUGACGGGCCACAUGCAUCACUGAAUUGAUUGCCCAUUUUGACCACUAUAAUGGCAAGAUUAUGUUCUGAGUUCUUCAUGAGAGUUGUUGCCCUGUGUCUUGAGACUUCUCUGGUUUUGGAUUGAAUUAAUUUGAGUGUUUGGUUAAGGAGUAAUUCAAUAAACAUUGGACU
rnacentral:lncRNA from 1 species